GGCCCAGGGCCUCCUGAAUACUCUAUUUGUCAUUCUUUUUUCCACAGAGGGGCAGACAAUGAGUCCUCCCCCAGUGUCUUAAGGACCAGCUGCUGAAGCCCCCCGCCGCCCCUCCCUGUUCCCGCCAAGCUUGGGAAACACCUGCUGGGGAAAUCAAACCACAGACCCAUCUGCUCCUCCCUGCCACCACAGCCACGGGGCCCCACAGAGGCCUGGAGCUACACUGAGCGGCACUGCCCAGAAAGGGCCUCCCUCCAGGUUUCCUCCACUGUAAAAUGAGGUGGAGCUAUGGUGCAGAUUCAGGAGGACACUUCUAUGAAGUUCUCAGCCUGUGGCUCAGCACACACGCCAAACUACGAGCCGCGAAAUUCAGAUUUCCCGCGGAAAACGCAGCGCUCCGAUUGGCUGUUGCAACAGGUACAGGCUCCACCCACCGGAAAGGACCAGCUUUCGAAGCGCCGAUUGAGCCACCAGCUUUACUGCUUAAAGGGCCCGCGACGUGUGCUAUUUGCCCAGCGUCCGCCAGAGAAGGUGGUUUCCGGCAUGUACGAGGCUCAGGGAGGUGACAGGCUGUGAGGAGCAGGUCUGCCGAUUCCUGCCUGGUGCUGUGUGACUUGUAUGGAAGCCUGAGCCUUGGCAUGUGAAGCCCUCCGUGGUGGCUUUGUCACCAGCAUUUCUGGAUUCAAAUUCAGGCCCUGCUGACUUACUGGCUGUGUGACCCCAGGCAAGUUUUUUUUAAGUCUCUGAGCCUUGGUUUUCUCUUCCCAAUAACACUUACCUCAUAGCAUUAUUGGGAAAUCUAAUGAGAUAAUGCAAGUAAAGCUUUCAGCACAGAUCCUGGUUCAGAAGGAGCUGCACGAAUUGGCAGCUGUCACUACAUCUCUGACCUUAUCUCCAGUAC